rnacentral:rRNA from 1 species
UACGGAGGGGGCUAGCGUUGUUCGGAAUUACUGGGCGUAAAGCGCACGUAGGCGGCUUUGUAAGUUAGAGGUGAAAGCCCGGGGCUCAACUCCGGAACUGCCUUUAAGACUGCAUCGCUUGAACAUCGGAGAGGUAAGUGGAAUUCCGGAGUGUAGAGGUGAAAUUCGUAGAUAUUCGGAAGAACACCAGUGGCGAAGGCGACUUACUGGACGAUUGUUGACGCUGAGGUGCGAAAGCGUGGGGGAGCGAACCGG